UACGUAGGGGGCAAGCGUUGUCCGGAUUUAUUGGGCGUAAAGGGCGCGUAGGCGGUUUCUUAAGUUUGAAGUGACAGUGGGUGGCUUAACUACCCAAGGCCUUUGAAAACUGGGGAACUUGAGGACCAGAGAGGGACAUAGAAUUCCGGGUGGAGUGGUGAAAUGCGUAGAUAUCCGGAGGAAUACCAAAGGCGAAGGCAGUGUCCUGGAGGGUUAACUGACGCUGAGGCGCGAAAGCUAGGGGAGCGAACGGG
rnacentral:rRNA from 1 species